CCAGCCCUGUUUAACAGCUUAUUGCAAAAGAAAAAAAAAAAAAAGCUGAAAGUGAAAGUAAGAGCAGUUUCGCCAGUAGACACAGAGUUAAAAGGAGAGUCCCAGGAACAGCAAGAGAAGUCAGUUUUGUAGGAGCCGCCAGAGAUUCAUCACAGUCAGCUAACACUGGCAGCUCAGGACAAAUAGACCAGCCAGCAGGACGCAGAUCAUCCAAUCCAGCUGAUCCUGAGACGAGACCAAGCUUCUGCUGAGGACAACAGCCCUGCUCUGGUCACUCUGCAGGCUGACCAGUUUACACACGGCUGAAGCUUGAGGACUUGUCAAGCAAGUCACCUUCCCCACGCUUGCUCGAUUUAUCAUGACCCUUUCAUGUGGACCCCUUAAAGUUGUAAGCCUUUAAAAAGGCCAAGAAUUUAUUUUUCAGGGAGCUGAGUUCUUAAGAUGCAAGUCUGCCGAUGCUCCUGGCUGAAUAAACCUCUUCCUUCUUUAAU